CUCUUAAAGCAAACUUCUUUUCCCUUCUCUUUGUCUUCUCUCUUCUAUGCAUCUUCUCUAUUCUUUUGGUUUUUGUGUCUUCAUUUUCUCUCUUCACGUUUGUUUUUUUCACAUUGAUUUUUUUUUUCUCUUUCAUUUGGUUGAAUCUGAUUUUGUUCCAAGUCGUAGCAUUUUUUUUAAUUGUGUGAUUUGCAGAUUUGUGAAAAUAGAUUUUUUUUUUUUUUUUGCAUGUUCUUGUAGGUGAUUCAAAGUCUGAUGCUUCUUUAUCCAAUAGAAACCAAAGCCCAUAGAGAGAGAGAAUGUGAGGCUUUCAAAUGUAUUCUUAGUGCUUGACGGAAAUCACCUCUUCACGGUUGAUGACGGCCAGCUCGAUGGAAGCUAUGCUCAGAGGCUUCAGAAUUUUUACGAAGGAAUCUUCACCUAGGGUUUCUCUCUCACCAUGUUAUUUCUCUCUCUAUUUUUUUUUUUCUUUUUGGUUUUUGUUUGAUCUAGUUUUGAUCUGAUGCUCAGAGACACAUGAAAAUGCAAGACAAGAUGAAAAAGAGACACAUGAAAAUGCAAGCCAAGAUGAAAAAUCCUUAUACAUGAGGCGUUGGACUAUCAGGUCGAUGUGGGAGUCUUCUUCCACACUUAAUUUCUUGCAUUUAUCUGCUAAGGAGUUUGAGGCAGCUUUGAUUACGUCGAAUGAUACUCUUUGAGUGACAUACAUAUACCUUUAUUGAAGCCCUCUUCUGAAUAUCUCCGUGCAUUUCUCUGCCGAGGAGUUCAAGACAGCUUGACGCCGAACGAUACUUGGAGUGACAUACAUAUACCUUUAUUAAAGGUACUGAACAUGGUGUGUUGUUGGGUGGAGGAUCCAAAUCCAGAUGUUUAUAAGUGUCACAUUUCUAGAAUCAAAGAUUAUCUAUGGGUGCUGAAGAUGGAAUGAAGAUGCAGAUUCCAUUUCAAUA